GAUGAACGCUGGCGGCGUGCCUAAUACAUGCAAGUCGAGCGAACGGACGAGAAGCUUGCUUUUCUGAUGUUAGCGGCGGACGGGUGAGUAACACGUGGAUAACCUACCUAUAAGACUGGGAUAACUUCGGGAAACCGGAGCUAAUACCGGAUAAUAUUUUGAACCGCAUGGUUCAAAAGUGAAAGACGGUCUUGCUGUCACUUAUAGAUGGAUCCGCGCUGCAUUAGCUAGUUGGUAAGGUAACGGCUUACCAAGGCAUCGAUGCAUAGCCGACCUGAGAGGGUGAUCGGCCACACUGGAACUGAGACACGGUCCAGACUCCUACGGGAGGCAGCAGUAGGGAAUCUUCCGCAAUGGGCGAAAGCCUGACGGAGCAACGCCGCGUGAGUGAUGAAGGUCUUCGGAUCGUAAAACUCUGUUAUUAGGGAAGAACAUAUGUGUAAGUAACUGUGCACAUCUUGACGGUACCUAAUCAGAAAGCCACGGCUAACUACGUG
rnacentral:rRNA from 1 species